GCCAGCAUGGCAUAGUGUUUUUUGUAUUGGACUACAAUUCCAGAGACCAAUGUUCAAUUCCUAGUUUGGCC